UCCCUACGGGGCGCAGCAGUGAGGAAUAUUGGUCAAUGGGCUUACGCCUGAACCAGCCAAGUCGCGUGAGGGAAGACUGCCCUAUGGGUUGUAAACCUCUUUUGUCGGGGAACAAAGGCGCCCACGGGUGGGCGGAUGAGUGUACCCGAAGAAAAAGCAUCGGCUAACUCCGUGCCAGCAGCCGCGGUAAUACGGAGGAUGCGAGCGUUAUCCGGAUUUAUUGGGUUUAAAGGGUGCGUAGGCGGACGGUCAAG
rnacentral:rRNA from 1 species